AUUGAACGCUGGCGGCAUGCCUUACACAUGCAAGUCGCGCGGAGCGGCGGACGGGUGCGUAAUGCCUCGGAAUCUGCCUGGUAGUGGGGGAUAACGUCCCGAAACGGUCGCUAAUACCGCAUACUAUCUGAUCAGCCGAUAUCUGAUUAGCUAGUUGGUGGGGUAAAGGCCUACCAAGGCGACGAUCCGUGACUGGUUUGAGAGGAUGAUCAGUCACACUGAGCCUGAGCCACGGUCCAGAAUCCUACGGUAGGCAGCAGUGGGGAAUAUUGGACAAUGGGCGAAAGCCUGAUCCAGCCAGGCCGCGUGUGUGAGGAAGGUCUGCGGGUUGUAAAGCACAGUGAGUUGGGAGGCGUUACCUACAGAAUAUGCACCGGCUAGCCUCGUGCCAGGAGCCGCGGUAAUCC
rnacentral:rRNA from 1 species